AAAGGCUAUUUUUUGUAUUAUUUGUGUAAUAGACAUUACAAGAACUUUAACUGUGACACCUGCUAACCGUUAAAUAGUAAUAUUUUCUUAGCAUCUGAAUGAACUCUAUAGAACUGUCGCAAUUAAUUAGUGCUAUUUAUCUAUGGUCGUAAAGUCGCCACUGAAGAACACUUAAAGUUUCUGUUUAUUCUAAUGUGUUUAACAUUCAAAGAUAAAGACAGAGUUAAUGUAUUUUCUGGUCAGUUUUAAGGUUGUUG
rnacentral:lncRNA from 1 species